rnacentral:rRNA from 1 species
ACUCCUACGGGAGGCAGCAGUAGGGAAUCUUCCACAAUGGACGAAAGUCUGAUGGAGCAACGCCGCGUGAGUGAAGAAGGGUUUCGGCUCGUAAAACUCUGUUGUUAAAGAAGAACAUAUCUGAGAGUAACUGUUCAGGUAUUGACGGUAUUUAACCAGAAAGCCACGGCUAACUACGUGCCAGCAGCCGCGGUAAUACGUAGGUGGCAAGCGUUGUCCGGAUUUAUUGGGGCGUAAAGCGAGCGCAGGCGGUUUUUAAGUCUGAUGUGAAAGCCUUCGGCUCAACCGAAGAAGUGCAUCGGAAACUGGGAAACUUGAGUGCAGAAGAGGACAGUGGAACUCCAUGUGUAGCGGUGAAAUGCGUAGAUAUAUGGAAGAACACCAGUGGCGAAGGCGGCUGUCUGGUCUGUAACUGACGCUGAGGCUCGAAAGUAUGG